GUAAUACUGAGGUAGGGAUAUGUCAGGGAAUAUAAGAACCUGUGUAUAUCGUGCCCCUUGUAAUACUGAGGGACGGAUAUGUCAGGGGACCCAAGAACCCGUGUAUAUCAUGCCCCUUGUAAUGCUGAGGGAGGGAUAAGUCAGGGGACCCAAGUACCUGUGUAUAUCAUGCCCCUUGUAAUACUGAGGGAGGGGUAUGUCAGGGAAUGGAAGAGUCCCCCCCCUUGAGAAACUUUAUAUUUUUCAUAAACAGUACAACCUGUUUGUGUUAACUAUCUGGUACCAUAAUUAUUUUGUAUUGUGAAAAUAACUGUAAAAAUCAACACAAAUAAUUUUAUGAAAACUUGCGUAUUGUAACAAGAAUUGUACAAAUCUGUUGUACAAAGCAUCUUUAGUGCUACACCGGUUGUAAGUCUAUGUUGAGGUAUGGGAGUUAUGAUCACCUUAGCACUAAGAUCACUUUGUACAACGGCAGCCUGAUCUUAGUUUGGAGAGAGCCAACAUCCCAAAACUAUAUUGCACUGACUGUUUUUACAAAUUUUUGAUAUGAUUAGAAUAAUUAUGGUACUGUUGCCACUCAUAUGUGAUGUGAUCACCCUCAUCAUGUCUACCUGUAUGUUCUACCUGUGUGUCCUACCUGUCUGUUCUACCUGGAUUGUCCCUGUGUGUUCUACCUGGAUUGUACCUGUAUGCUCUACCUGUCUGUUCUACCUGGAUUGUCCCAGUGUGUUCUACCUGGAUUGUACCUGUAUGCUCUAACUGGAUUGUCCCUGUGUGUUCUACCUGUCUGAUCUACCUGGAUUAUACUUGGAUGUUCUACCUAUGUAUUCUACCUAUGCACAGUGUCUGCACUGCUCAGUGUCUCAAAGAUUUAUCUUCAACGUUUGUCAUAUCAUAAUACUCUAAUGUUUUGCAUGAUGUUUCUCUUUUUAUAAUCUGUAUGAUAUUUAUACAAUGUUUUUGUGACUUGGAUUAUUAUGACAGUCUUCAAGCAUGUGGUUUUAUAAAGUUAUUGACAUUUUUGGCUCUUCUUUUCGAAUGAGGAAAGCUUGAAAGUGUUUGAAUGUGAUGAGAAUGUGUUCAGUUGAUAAACAAUUUUUAUUUUUAUUCUUUUCAAGUCUUGCAUGUUUCAAACUUCAAUACAGACUGAAGGUCAAAUGUCUCCCAUGAGCUGAUAUGACUUUUCUGGAGGUAUUUUUCUUUUCAGUGAAUGUGAGUGAAUCUUUAACCGAAACUGUUUAAAAAGGUGUAAGUAAAGUCUGUUCCAACAUAUGUUGACAAACUGACUUUGAUCACAGGCUGCAUAUUAAUUGACAAGUGCUAGACAGAAAAAGCUAUUUGUCAGUCAUAUACUUGUUUACAUGGUUUCAGAAUUUGAACAUUGGCCUGUCUCAGUGCAUACAAAUGGCCUUCGUCUUACCUCAUCCCUUAUGAUCAAGCAGAAUAUCACAGCCUAUGUUCGUUCAUGUGGAAAAAGCAUUUUCCAUCCAUUGUCAGUCAUGUGAAGCUUAUUUAUGGUUUAAUGCAUAUCAUAUGUUCUUGUGAAAUCAAUUUGUGCCCAAGAAUAUACCACAUGAGUAAGGUGACCAACAUGAUGGAAACGUUUUGUUACUAUUGACAGAAAAUAAGGGAAUGAUGAUAAUUGAUCAGCCUUGGUUUGAUAGCAACAUAUCCGUGAUUAGGGCAUUAAAAAAAAUCUAAACAUUUAAGACCUGAUUUGCUUCAGGUUUUUCUCCCGUGUGAUAUAACUCACUCACUCACUCACUCUUUAAUGUUGUUUGUUUCGGAUUUGAUACCUUACAGCCACAAUAUUCACAACUCGUGAUGUUCAACAAGUCCUUUUCUGGUUCUGUGACCUAGCAUUUCAGACAGGAUCCACUCACUCACAUUGGUAGUUUUCUGUAAAAGUCUUUUGGCUUUGAUCAGGUUACAUUCUGCACUAAACAUCACACCGUAAACAUAUUGCUGAACUUUUGCUCAUGACACUGUCAAAUCAUUUGUCCUAAGUUACGAAAUUAAGGCAAGCAGUUUCAAAUUUUCUUUCCUGAUCUGUCAGUAUCCUUUCAGUCAGUCAGUCUAAUAUUGUCACUUUCCUUCUUUCAAUCUACAGGUAUUCUUUCGAUCUAGCUGAUUUUAUUCAUCAUGCAUACAUUAAGCAAAUAUUUACUUUAAAUAUGCAUCUGUAUUUAUGACAUUUAAACUAACUUUAUGUGAACUAAAAAAUUGUGACUGCAUAUUUACAUACACUUUGAUGUGUGCACUCAAAAUUGAAAUGGUCACAAUGACAAAUUUUAUCAGGGUCAGUAACCAUGGUUACAGGAAGACAUUACCUGUUACAGGUAAGGUUGAACAUUGACAGAAGGUUGAAUGUUUUAUUCCCCCAAUAUAUUUUGAUGAAUGUCUUUAAAUUGCCUUAUGAAAUAAUGGAUUGACAUUUACCUUAGUUUGAUACUCAGCACAUUUUUCCCAAGUUUCACAAUAUCAGAGUGUAAUAGGAGGAUUUCCUCCUCAUAGCUAUUUUGGAUGUUAUUUUACCAGACACAUUAAUGAUAAGCAAUGGAACUGACAAGAAUGACAAAAAAAGUUAAAUAUAUUUUGAAAAUACCCUGUAAAAUGUUAAUAUAUGUUCAUUAGAGAUGUCAUAGUUUUGAGGAGAUAGUGUUUGUUUUAUUGAAGGCAUCCAAUGCCUUGGACCUACCAUAGCCUUGAAGGCAAAUAUGUCUGGCAAGAGAUUGUCUUGUGUAUUUUUGGCUUGGAGAGCAUGUGAUAUGUUACCUUGACCUAUGACAACUGACCUGAACAAAAGAUGACCUGACACACAGAAUCAAACAAGAAACUGUCAUACAAUAGUGGCAUAUUGUGUGUUUGGGGCUGCUAACCUUUGUUGUAUGUCCAAAUGUCAUAUAAGCUAUGCCACUAAAGGCUCUUUUUGUCAUAUACAAGAUCAUAUUUUGAUGGUAUUUAACGUGAUGUGUUAAUGUUUUAUGCUUGCUCAGCAUGUUUUAUGCUUGCUCAGCAUGCGAGAUGUAAUGCUUUUGAGCUUACAAAGAGCCAUUGAAGCAGUUUUAUUACAUAUAUGGUAAUAAUUUUAAAAUAACAUUAUCACAAAUGCAGUGAUAUCUGGGGAGUUUUUGCUUAACUACUUAUCAUUGUGCUGAUGAAUAAUGCCCUGUUGUGCUUCAGUAUUUUUCAGCAUAUUUUGUUAAAUAUCAAUGUUUUGUUUGACAUGUAUGACAUUUAUCAAAACUCUACUGUCAAUUUAUAAAUGCCUUUUCUAUGUUGUUAAUCAAUAAAUUAUUACUGAUUAAA
rnacentral:lncRNA from 1 species